rnacentral:rRNA from 1 species
AUUGAACGCUGGCGGCAUGCUUUACACAUGCAAGUCGAACGGUAACAGGUUAAGCUGACGAGUGGCGAACGGGUGAGUAAUGCAUCGGAACGUGCCCGGUCGUGGGGGAUAACGCAGCGAAAGCUGCGCUAAUACCGCAUACGAUCUGAGGAUGAAAGCGGGGGACCGUAAGGCCUCGCGCGAUUGGAGCGGCCGAGGGCAGAUUAGGUAGUUGGUGGGGUAAAGGCUCACCAAGCCAACGAUCUGUAGCUGGUCUGAGAGGACGACCAGCCACACUGGGACUGAGACACGGCCCAGACUCCUACGGGAGGCAGCAGUGGGGAAUUUUGGACAAUGGGCGCAAGCCUGAUCCAGCAAUGCCGCGUGCAGGAAGAAGGCCUUCGGGUUGUAAACUGCUUUUGUACGGAACGAAACGGCGAGCUCUAAUACAGUUUGCUAAUGACGGUACCGUAAGAAUAAGCACCGGCUAACUACGUGCCAGCCGCCGCGGUAA